rnacentral:rRNA from 1 species
GGGUGAGUAACACGUGGAUAACCUACCUAUAAGACUGGGGUAACUUCGGGAAACCGGAGCUAAUACCGGAUAAUAUUUUGAACCGCAUGGUUCAAAAGUGAAAGACGGUCUUGCUGUCACUUAUAGAUGGAUCCGCGCUGCAUUAGCUAGUUGGUAAGGUAACGGCUUACCAAGGCAACGAUGCAUAGCCGACCUUAGAGGGUGAUCGGCCACACUGGAACUGAGACACGGUCCAG